rnacentral:rRNA from 1 species
CCCCUAGACGUUCUGGGCCGCACGCGCGCUACACUGACGAAGGCAACGAGCUUUCCUUUACCGAAAGGUACGGGUAAUCUUUUGAAACUUCGUCGUGCUGGGGAUAGAUCCUUGCAAUUUUUGAUCUUAAACGAGGAAUGCCUAGUAAGCGCAAGUCAUCAACUUGCGUUGAUUACGUCCCUGCCCUUUGUACACACCGCCCGUCGCUACUACCGAUUGAAUGGUUUAGUGAGGCCUUCGGAUCCGCGACUCGUUUGUGGAGAAGUUGGACAAACUCAGUCAUUUAGAGGAAGUAAAAGUCGUAACA